UUUGCCUCAUAACGAAGCCGUGACAAGCUAUUUAGUGCGGGCUUUGUCGACAAAUCCAAAUCUUCAUGAUGCUGACGAAGACAACAUUGUGUCUGCCUGCAAGACGUAUUACGAAACCUUACGCAGGAGCUACAGAUACCAGCAGCCUGAUCUUUCGUUGCAGGCGGAAGCAAUGAAGUAGCCGGCUCGUAGUCGAUCCAGAAGAAAGAGGCUGUUUGACGCGAGACGAGGUGUCCUUGCUAUGGACGAGAUGGAUGUAUGGCAGUGUGCUACUGUAGACCUGAUGUCGGAUGAGGAAAAUGGGGUGGUGGAUGGGGUGUCUGGGUGGAUCGUUAAGCCUCCGCCAUCCCGUAACCCGGAGCUCAGCGAACUAUUGCCGCUUUUCCACUACAAACGCGGCUGAGCCAUGCCGUGCUGAGUUGGGCUGAGUCGAGCUGAGCGGGGCUGUUGGAGUUGCAUUUCGACUACAACCGCGCUGAACCGUGCUGGCUGGAAG